rnacentral:rRNA from 1 species
GACGUAGGGGGCCAGCGUUGUUCGGAAUUACUGGGUGUAAAGGGUUCGUAGGCGGUGCGGCAAGUUGGGAGUGAAAUCUCUGGGCUUAACCCAGAGGCUGCUUCCAAAACUGCUGUGCUUGAGUGUGGGAGAGGCGCGUGGAAUUGCAGGUGUAGCGGUGAAAUGCGCAGAUAUCAGGAGGAACACCAAUGGCGAAGGCAGCUCGCUGGGACGGUACUGACGCUGAGACGCGAAAGCGUGGGGAGCAAACAGG